AUUGAACGCUGGCGGCAGGCCUAACACAUGCAAGUCGAACGAGUGGCGGACGGGUGAGUAAUGCUUGGGAAUCUGGCAUAUGGAGGGGGAUGACUACUGGAAACUGUAGCUAAUACCGCGUACCAUAGGAUGAGCCCAAGUGGGUUUAGGUGGUGGGUGGGGUAAAGGCUCACCAAGCCGCCGAUCUCUAGCUGGUCUGAGAGGAUGACCGGACAAACUGGAACUGAGACACGGCCCAGACUCCUCGGGAAGGCAGCAGUGGGGAAUAUUGCGAAAGGGGGGCAACCGGACGCAGCAAUGCCGCGUGAAGGAAGAAGUCUUUGGGGUGGUAAAGUCUGUUCGGUAGGGAGGCGGUAACUAAAGAAGAAGGACCGGCUAACUCCGUGCCAGCAGCCGCGGUAAUAC
rnacentral:rRNA from 1 species